UCCCAGGUGGCUCAGUGGUAAAGAACCUGCCUGUCGUGCAGGAGACCCUGGUUCAAACCCUGGGUCAGGAA
rnacentral:tRNA from 1 species